GACGUGCGUCCACGGAGGCUGAGAAACGUUCUGGCGUCCUUUGCUAGGAAGGGUAGGCUCAGGGAGAAGGGUUUUAACGAAUUGGAUUUGAAAUGUGAAAUCCCUCCGGGGGAAGAGGGAGCUGAGAGCGCCGGCCAGUAGAUGUCACUAGAUCUCUUUGGGACAAGCUCAGGAGCGUCCCGGAUCAGGACCUGGUGCUUUUCAUCGCUGGGUCAAAGAGUUGAAUUCAGCCCUGGUUGGUAGUGACCUAAAGCACUGAUUUGAUGGUCUCGGUGUUAAAUUAGUUGUAUGUGAAGACUUAAUGCAUGGGUGAGCUGUGUCUCCUUGCACUGAUGGUAGCAAACAAGCCUUGAUUGUGCUGUGAAGGACGCGUCAGCCUUGACAAACUUCCCCAUGACUUCAGGACCAAGCCCCUGUUCUUGUGACAUUAACUUCCUCAGUGAAGAAGUGGAUUCUUGGCCAAAGUCUUUGCAGCCUGGUUAAUUUUUGCAGUUACUUAUAAAACCUUAACCCGUCAGGUGAAAAAGGCAAAGAAUAAAGGAAAGGAGUUCUGUAUUUGAGAACCACGUGGGAUUCUCAGCAGUGCUAACCUCAAGCAUUUAAAAAAAAUCACAAGGCAAGCCCCCCAAAGAUUGGGAGAUUGGCUUAAGAAACAUGGCAUUUCAAAUCAUGAGUUUGGAGUUCCUCUGAUUAGCCUGCUGGGUUUUUUUGAGUCUCUAGGGUAUGCUCAGGCCAGAGGGGUUUCUUUUGAAAAUGAAAGCCGAGAUUUUCAUGACUUCAGGAGUUGGGACAUUAAGACAAACAGCACAUAUCGCGAAUCGUGAUAAAACCAUGAGAGUUGGCCACACUGGUGAGUGGGGGGGGUGGGUGUGCAAGGCUGGUGGCGGGGCAAAGAUGGAGCGCGUGGGGCCAGCCGCCCCCGCUGCUGGUCUGUCACCGCAGCCCCCGCUGCGUGCUGGCUCUCGGCCUGCAGGGCCCCCCGGCCCGUUUCCGGCCGGCACGCUACGUGCUAUGAACUGCAGUGGCUGGUGUGUUGUCUCUGCUGCCCACCCAUCGACCCUUUACGUGCCCCCUCUUGCUGUCCUCUCCCUCCUUCGCCCCCCCCCCCCCCCCCCCCCCCAGCCCCGCUGCUCGUCCAUCUCCCUCACCCAGCGGGCGCAUCCCGCUCCCAGCGCUGUGGGGAGAACCAGCCCCUGGUCCGAGCGCUCAGCUCACCAGCAGCCUGGCUGUCAGGCUCCUUCCUUCCCCCACUGCCUCUGGCUGGGCCGGUGCCCCGGGAAAGCCAAGACCCUCCGGCCUGGGGCGCUGGCCAGGAGGAGCCGAGCCCGGCAUGUGCCAGAGCCCUGCACAGCGCUGGCACAGGGAAGCCUCCCCGCCCCUCAGCUGAGCUCUGGAGUUGGAGGGGGGAAGCGAUUUCCAGCCUGUUCAUGCCCCCCCGCCCCCCAUGCAGGCUCCCAAGGCAGGGGCUUAGCCCCUUCUUCACCCGCCUCCUCCCACUGUGGGUCCUGUCCCAGGGAGCGGGGCUGCUCUGUUCCCUCGGCACCCUCCCCUGCUGAGCCACCUCUCUUGCCCCCCUGCAGUCAGGUUCCCUGGCCCCAGGUGCACAAUGCAGCCUUAGGGCUUAACCCCUUCCUGCCCAUGCUGUAGCCAGGGGACAGGAGGCGGCUGGGUUAUGUCAGUGGCCAGCAGUAGUCUGGAGGUGUUAGCUGCCUUUCUGACACUGCGGGCAGGAAGGGACAAGCUGCUUCCAGUGGGGGGAGGGGGAGAAGAGAUGGGUUCUGCAAAGACGGGGGCCAGGUGAUGUGUGUGUGACACCCCUCCCCAUGUGAACCCUAAAGCCUUAAGGUAAAUAAAGACUCCAGCUACGCAGUAUUUCUUUUUAACGGGUUCAGUCAACUUGGUGUUAGUUUGAACAUUUGUCCUGCAUAGCUCUGAUUGCAUUGACCUCGCUUGAAUACGAGUGAUUUUACCAGGUGUCCCGUGUUCAGCACAGGGAAAUAUGGUCACCCCGCCCGUCAGACCCAAUUUCCCAGCUGCCUGGGUGAUUUAAGCUCUUGGCUUUCCUUUUUUCCCCUCCUCCCCUUCUUGCUAAUCAUGUUGCAAAACCAACCCCAUGAGACCUUCCAUUUGUGGUUCCAGCACAGGAGAGUUGCUCUGCUGGGGCGUGGUUAGGUGUUCCUCAGCAAGGGCCGGAACAAAGGUCUCUUCCUGGUCACUUGCUUCCUCAACUCAGGCCAGCUGCUCAGAUCUGUGGCCGCCCGAAGCAUCUCCAGCGGGGGAGUUUAAGGUGCUUUUGCUGUAGCUAGCACUGCUGUAAUUGCUUCUCUCCUGUAGACAGAUGCUUCAAGCUUAAGAAAACCUGUAAAUGUAGCUUCUGGUUCUGCAGCUAAUGAGUGAAGCUGUGAGCUCCAGCAGUGCAGGGCUUUCCCCCGCCUUCUGUGCGCCCGUCGUCCGUACAGCAGUGCCACCUGCCCAGACCCUCUAAAGGGUGGCAUCCUUCAGUACCUCUGUAACCGGUUCUAUGACAUCGAAUACCUCGUCG